CCUACGGGGGGCUGCAGUAGGGAAUCUUCCACAAUGGGCGAAAGCCUGAUGGAGCAACGCCGCGUGGGUGAAGAAGGUCUUCGGAUCGUAAAACCCUGUUGUUAGAGAAGAAAGUGCGUGAGAGUAACUGUUCACGUUUCGACGGUAUCUAACCAGAAAGCCACGGCUAACUACGUGCCAGCAGCCGCGGUAAUACGUAGGUGGCAAGCGUUAUCCGGAUUUAUUGGGCGUAAAGGGAACGCAGGCGGUCUUUUAAGUUUGAUGUGAAAGCCGUCGGCUUAACCGGAGUAGUGCAUUGGAAACUGGGGGACUUGAGUGCGGAAGAGGAGAGUGGAACUCGAUGUGUAGCGGUGAAAUGCAUAGAUAUAUGGAAGAACCCCGAUGGCGAAAGCAGCUCUCUGGUCUAUAACUGACGCUCAGGUUCGAAAGCGUGGGUAGCGAACAGGAUUAGAUACCCGGGUAGUC
rnacentral:rRNA from 1 species